UUUUUGUUUUUCAUAUUGCGUGUGGGUCUCCCACCAGUAUGGUCAGCUGCGAUUGUAAUCUAAAGGUAUAUAUGAUGCCCCCCAUAGGGGGUCUCACAGAGAUUAGCUGCUCGUGGCCGUUGGAUCUUACCCGUCUGGCAAUCUUGUCCGUCUUUUUUUUCACUGGUGGAGUAGUCUAGGACGAGGCCCUCGCGCGAACCAGCUUUUUAUCCAUGGGUCGAUGAAGCCCUCCCGGCCCAGCCUCUCGCGUCGCUCGUUACCCUCCUCUCCCCUCGCGCCGCGCCGCCGCCUCGCGCUCGCCGUCUCCUCCCCUCCCGUUCCCGUGCGCGUGCGGCGGCCGCCGCCGCCAUCCCCGCCGCCAGCCUCUCUUCCUCCCCCACGUCCCUAGCCCACUUUCGCCCAAUCCCCGCGCGAGAUCCGUCCUCGCCCAUGGCGGCGGUUUCCUGCCGCAACUCCUCUUCGCUGCGCCUCGCCUCCCACCUCUCUCCUCCCACUCCUCCCUCUACCUCAUCUCUGAUGGCUCCGGUUCGCCUUGGGCGCGGCCACCGCGCAAGGCGCGAGCGGGGCGUCGGCCUUGGGCGCGAGCCCUGCUAUGGCACGCCCCGUCUGCCCCGCUCACCGCUGCAACGAAUCAUCGCGUUGCCGGGAGGAGCCGCGCCGCGAGCUGCGCCGGCUCGGCCAAGGCGACGAGGACCAAGAUCCGGGGCGGCGUCUUUCAUCCUCGCCUUCCUCUCCCACUUCCCCACUGAUUCGGGGAGAAACAUGGCAGCAGGAGCGACAUGGAGCGACCGAGCGUCGGCGGUAGGAAGCGCACGCCUGGGCGACAGCGGCGGCAAGCGCGGGCCUUGGCGACGGCGGCGCCCAUCGGUGAGCAGCGAAGGGGUCUCCGACGGCGGAAGGAGUGCUGCGCCCGGCGUCCGGACAAGCUCCCAUCCUCAAUCCCUCCAUGUGCGCCGUCGUCCGCGUCCCGUCGCCGUCACCUUCGUCUCGACGCAAUGGGGCCAGGCACUCCCUCGCACGCGCUCAUCCUAGGUUGGAGAUGCGGAUGAGGCAGUGUGGCGCUGUGUGACCCAGCUCCUACAGCUGCAGACCGAGAUUAGGGAGAAGAGGCAAAUUCAGAGAGAUGCCACACAAGGACAUGGGAGACCAACGUGGAAGGAGGCUCAGCCAAGCCGUGGCCAUGGUGCAGCUCUCUCCCAAUUUACAGAGCGUUCCAUUUUGUUCAGAUGUUUGUUUGUGGAUAUUUUUUUUAUCUGUGCCUACCAGUUUUUGAUGAAAAUCGUGGCAACCUAAAGAUAGGUGUACUAAAAUGCAGUCUCCCCCUUGCUAGAUGUGCAUCCAUGGAUGGAGCUUACCCGGUGGCCUUGCUAGAUAGCUGAGACAGGUUGUACUUGGAGUGAAGAUGAUGAUGAUAGAUCAACGAUUACAAGUACUGAGCCACUCACAGAAUAUUCAGCUCUUCGGUUCAUGUGGUUUUAUCACUUCUUUCAGACCAUGUGAGCUGAUUCCUUUUCCUUUAUAUGCGCAGAUUAUUUACUUGCUUAGGCUACAAUUUUACCUGGUCGGUUAUUAAUGCAUGCCGAGAUAAGAAAAUUUAUCCAGUGUUUCUUGCUAUACCAAAUCAGAUAACUAACUGAGUAUUGUAGUUAUAUACAUCCGAUGAUUUUUAUUACCAUGUUUGUCAGCUAUGGUGAUGGAAAAUCAAGCAGAGCCACUUGAUUUUUUUAGUCUAUUGACGUUUUUUCUGUGGUUACCUUUGCUUCUUUGACUGAUGUCAGUCUGAUUAGUACAAGGGUGUUGUUUGCUGUGUAGUAAGGUACUGAGGUGCUGUUUGCUUUGCAGUACAAAUGAUAGCUUGGUUGCUUAAAAUGCAGAUGUUGUUUGAUGUUUAGCUUCCUUACUUGAAAAUCAGAAUUUGACUGCAAAAUGGGCAGUCCACGGCUUCUCCUUAAUUUGCACAUCCUGGAAAAACAAAACUGGAGCUGUAGCCCCUUUUAACACCACACUGUGAUCUAGCCUGCUAAGAUAAAAAGAAAAAGAAAAACUAAGCAACCCAGGACAGAUUAAGUAUUACUAGAGAGACAUGCUCUAGAAUAACUUUUACUCUACAGAAAAUACUUUGGUUAUAUCAGAACCAUAUGCUAAUUACUAUUGUAAUGUAUUAUGUAUCAGAACCAUAUGCUAAUAAGUAUUGUAAUGUAUUUUCCUAUUUCAGUUGUGCUAUGUAUGCAGUUGCUGCCCUGCCUAUAUUUACGUGUGAAUCUCUUGGGAAUUUUAUUGGUCACCCUCACGUGAUGUUAUAUAUUCUUAUUCGCUACUUCUAUGUGUCACAUUUCAGCGUCGCACCACCUGGUAAUCCGCAAAUGGUUCUUCACUUUGUUUAGCCUGUACAAGUCAUCGAUGAACCAUAUGAACCAGAAUUAGACAAAUACCGAUAGUACGAUUUUUUUUACUAAAAUAAAUAUAUUACCAGGUCAUUAAAACAGCAUACUUACCCCCUCUAUUUCAUUUCCUCUUUCAUCCCCAUCUCUCUGGCUCGGUGGCGGCAUAGCCUGCGAUCUGCCGAGCUGGUGUUUUCGCUAUUAUGGUCCAUUUCGUUUCGACCAUUUUUUCUAUAAUAUUGUUUAUUAUCUUUUUAUUUCAACUAUUUUAUCGAUUGUUGUACACGAUGUGUUACUUGAGGUUUUUUUUUUUUAAAAUUCUUACCAAAAUUGAGAUAGCAUUUCUGAAAAAUUAUCCACCAAAGAUGAUGCAUGAGGAGCAACUAAUAUAUCAUCAUUUCUAUAUUUGGUUUUGUUUCCUAUGAAAGUAAACAGAGUUCUGAACAGAACAUUCAUCUUUCUAUGGCCAUCAGAUUGAAUUAGAGUUUGUUUGUGCUUAUGUUAUAUUUUUUCGAUAAAGGGAAUAUAUUAAUAUCAAAAAGAUACCAAUUACACCCAGCAUCUGCAACAACGCACCACCCUAAUGGCACUACGGAUGCACACAGCCAAAAAAAGGAAAAGAAAAACUAAGAAACAAAAGUCCCGCUACAGUGUCUCGGGCCUAACAACAGCAAUACAUCCACCGCCAAAACAACACCUGAAAUACAGACUCUCCAAAAACGACGCCUCCAAGAAGGGAACAGUGCUCUAACACCGUCGUCGCCCGAUCAACGAUCUUAGGUUUUCACCCUGAAGAUAGUCCCCGCUCUCAAAACAAUGCCUCCAACAAGGUCAUUGCCAGGCAUAGUUUUAUAUAUUCUCGGAAGGUAUGAAAGGUCAUCAGAUUGGGUAAGAGUUUGUUUAUGUUUAUGUUAUAUAUAUUCUCGGAAACGUUUGAAUAGCGACUUGUGUGGAAUAGUUUUUGUUUAGAAAAAUCAUGUGAUCUCAUAUAUUCAUGCCCUUACAUAGUACCAAUGACUUUUACAAAACGGAUGCAGAGUAGUCAGCCAUCUCAUUUAUGCUCUACACAUGCUUCUAUGUAAACCAGGGGCCUCCCUACAUGUGUCAUGCCAUUCCUUUAUUCUCUCGCUUGUCUUUUAAUUGCAACUUUAAUAUUUGUUUAAUGGAGAAUAUACUAAGAUGAAGAGUGAACUGAAUCAUUUUGAAUUUGGUGUCCUUUUUAAACGACUUCCAUGGUUUUACAAUUUUACUUCACCAUGAAGUCAUAUAUCAAGAAAUUACGGCUCAUCAACAAAAUAAUGUAUAUGAAUAUUAUCAGUUCAUCGUGCUUUGGAUAGUUGCAGCUUCCGGAUAAUUGUAUCAUAUAGUAGAUUUAGAUAUUACUUGGUUGAGCUACAGUUUUACAUAUUACUGUCUCGGUAUUUAGCCACAUCUGGUCAUAUUUCAGCUGGGAUAUGCUGGUUUUUAAGUUUUGGUGCUUUUGCACUCCUUUUAUUUCUACCAAGUUAAUUAUGCGAUUUUACUUUACUUUUGAUAUUUCAACUCUAAGCUUGUCGUGCCAUGUUAUUCAGGUUUCCGUCCAAUUUAGUUCUCCUUUCUUUUUUGCCUUUUUGGUUCAUGCUAAUUCUUUGUGAGUAAAACAUCUCCAGGCAGCGGAAUUUUGCUUGAGGUGCACUAAGUUAGCACAUGAAUGGGAAGGAGUCGAGCAAAUUAUAAGCGGCCAAUCAGCCAUUUCUAAGGUUCUGGAUAUGGGGAACUAUCAUGUAGCAAUGGAUGCAAGAAAGGUCUACCGAAGUUCAUUUUCACACCCUUGAAUAAGUCCAGAUAAGUAUCUAUCCAAUGAUAUUUAAUAUCACACUUGAUAGUUCCAGAUUUGGAAGAUCAACUGGAUGCAUAUGCCUCAUCAAUGUAUUCGAUUAGUAAACAUAUUUUUACAAGUACAGUAAUUGUUGAGGUAGUGAUUACGGAUGAUGUGCAUGAUCAUGCUAUCAAUUACCACUGUAAGAUUGUACAUAACAAAACUAAAUAGUACUUUACAUAUGUGAUAAUUUUCUGUUCCUAUCCUGCACUUAGAACACUUUCCACAAUUAUUGAUAACUCUGGUUAAACAUCGGCAGCCGGAGAUCUUGGGAAAUUGUUGUUCUGGUGUAGAGAAAAAAUAUUUAAAUUGUAUGAGGCCAAAGUUUUUGGCUAUCUGAUACAUUAUAGGCACACAAGUUGUUAUUAUUUGUUGAUUCAAUUCCUUUUUUUUCCUUUUGUAGAAAUUGGAGUUUAUAUACAGCAGCCGAAUGAAUCAAAAUAAUAUCUCUGCUCUGCUUUUUUUUGCAAGAAUUAGGAUUUCCGUUUCUCAUGUGCAUUAUUACUCCAUAGACAAUCUCACUAACAAACGAAUUGGAUUUGAGCCAUCCUACUAUCCAUUCUUAGUGUUCAAUUUCAUUGGUGAAAAAAAGCCACCGCUCAACUUGCAUCCCUGGCCGCCGGUACCGGUGUCGCCCGACCGCCAAAGGCGGUGAGGGAGUGCGCGCACCCUGGCAGGGCUCCUCGUGCGAAGAAGCAUCGCCUUCUGGGUCGCGCGACCUCGGCGAGGCGGAGUGGAAGCAGUGAUUCAGAGUGUUGGAAGGCGUUGUGGCACGGUGCCAGCUGCGCGAGAGGUUGGCGGCAACGCUCUGGCCCGACCUGGGCUGGACGGGCCACGACCGUGCACCCCCCGUUCUAAUAUCCUUCCACCGAUCCUCCGCUGGUGGAGGACGCCGUGCAUGCGAGCAGGAGCCUAUUGUUGUUAUGGUCUAUAGUCGAGGGCACCUCCUUACCAAGUUGUAUUCGCUUGGUGAGGACGACCGUGUAUGUGUGUGUAUCGUGUGUAUUCCCCUGAUGUCUUCUUCCUAUUCAAUGAAAUCGAACGCAAAAUCUCUUGCGUUUCCUUGAAAGAAAAAACUAAAAAACA